rnacentral:tRNA from 1 species
AAGUGGCGCAGUGGAUAGCGCACAUGGCUCAUAACCAUGAAGUCGCAGGUUCGAAUCCUGCCUUU